rnacentral:rRNA from 1 species
UACGUAGGGGGCAAGCGUUGUCCGGAAUCAUUGGGCGUAAAGCGCGUGUAGGCGGCUUGGUAAGUCUGCUCUGAAAGCCCGGGGCUCAACCCCGGGAGGCGGGUGGAUACUGUCAAGCUCGAGUCCGGAAGAGGAGUGUGGAAUUCCUGGUGUAGCGGUGAAAUGCGCAGAUAUCAGGAGGAACACCGGUGGCGAAGGCGGAUCUCUGGGCCUUACCUGACGCUGAGGCGCGAAAGCUAGGGGAGCGAACAGG